rnacentral:lncRNA from 1 species
GCUUCCCAUGCCCUACUCCUACCUCCAGCCCUAGGAACCUUGAUUUUAAUUCACAAAGAACCAUAUUGUGGGGAGAAAAAAAAAAGAAAAUGACCACAGUAAAUCCUGUAAAGGUGGCAGGUCUCUCCAGAAAUAUAGCUACACUGUGAGCUUAGACCUCCUUUAAACUAAGGGCAGGGAAAGAAAAGAACACAGCAAAAUGCCUAAGCAGACUACCAGACCAAACCACAACAAACAUCUGGAACUAAAUUAUAGAAAUUCAAACCUAACUGGGAAAGAAAAUUAUUUAUAGCAUAAAAAGUAGUUAAAAAGGAAGAUGAAACAUAUUGGGAUAGAGUCAAAAGCAUCUUUCUCUCCUUGUUCUUUUCAGAAUUGCCCCAGAGUAUCAUAUGAGGAAAAAACAUUACCCUCAGCUCUACUGGAGACUUUGAGCUUCAUAGACAAAGGGAUCCGCGUCUCAAAUUGAUAACCCGAUUUCUACAUAGUUUGGUUUUUAACUCCGAUGAACCAACUGGAAUACUGAAACUCAGGUUUUCCGAUGUGAUUUUAUGCCUGCUUAGAAUCAGUGGCUGACGAGAAAAGUAUAUACACAAUAAAUCUCAAAUCAUUCAAUUACCUUAAGUCAAUUGGGAGGCUUCUAUUUACUGAAUAUCGGCAUUUGACUCUCAUAUCACAAAGACAUGCAAAUGACUCCCAAGUCGCAAAAUCAUUCUGGAUGGCUUAUUACUCCAUUCUCAGAUGUUGGAGGAGCAAGGGGAGGCUUGAGAGUUUGAUCAAGAAAAUACUACGCUUGUCAUUUGGCAAAAACAGCAUGCUAACACAGCCUCUGGAGUUAACGGCUGUACGAGUGUCAGCUCACAGGAAGGAAAAGCAUUCAGCCCCUCUCUGGAAACAGAUCCAUGCUGCAAAAUUAUCCGAGUUAAUUUCCUUCAGUUAAUUAAGCCAGUUUCCUUAUUAGCAAGGGGAGAUGACCAAGUCUAGUCUACAUCCAAUGACUCACAGAAUGAGGAGGUUAGCUGGCCCCAGCUCAGUUUCAAAACUUCACUUGCAGACAGAGUGUCCUAGACUCUGUAGAAGCAGUACUGGCCCUACCCAGUAUUUAGGUCUGCUUUUGCCACUGCUGAACCAAGGAUUCUCCCAGAAAUGCCCAUGUAAACUACCACCAAGUUCUUUUCUGCUAAUUGCUAAAUUCCCACAGGGCUUCAUCUCAGGGGUGUGUGUGUGUGUGUGUGUGUGUGUGUGUGUGUGCCCAACGUCCAAUAAUAUCCAGCACCUCUCGUGA